rnacentral:siRNA from 1 species
AUUUGUGAGUAUGGGUCCUGA